rnacentral:rRNA from 1 species
GAUGAACGCUAGCUACAGGCUUAACACAUGCAAGUCGAGGGGAAACGAUAUUGGAAGCUUGCUUCCGAUAGGCGUCGACCGGCGCACGGGUGAGUAACGCGUAUCCAACCUGCCCAUCACUUGGGGAUAACCUUGCGAAAGUAAGACUAAUACCCAAUGAUAUUUAUAGAAGGCAUCCGAAAUGAAUUAAGGAUUUAUCGGUGAUGGAUGGGGAUGCGUCUGAUUAGCUUGUUGGCGGGGUAACGGCCCACCAAGGCGACGAUCAGUAGGGGUUCUGAGAGGAAGGUCCCCCACAUUGGAACUGAGACACGGUCCAAACUCCUACGGGAGGCAGCAGUGAGGAAUAUUGGUCAAUGGGCGAGAGCCUGAACCAGCCAAGUAGCGUGCAGGAUGACGGCCCUAUGGGUUGUAAACUGCUUUUAUAGGGGAAUAAAGUGAGCCACGUGUGGUUUUUUGCAUGUACCCUAUGAAUAAGGACCGGCUAAUUCCGUGCCAGCCGCCGCCGUAAGAC